rnacentral:rRNA from 1 species
UACAGAGGUCUCAAGCGUUGUUCGGAUUCAUUGGGCGUAAAGGGUGCGUAGGUGGCGCUGUAAGUCGGGUGUGAAAUUUCGGAGCUUAACUCCGAAACUGCAUUCGAUACUGCGGUGCUUGAGGACUGGAGAGGAGACUGGAAUUCAUGGUGUAGCAGUGAAAUGCGUAGAGAUCAUGAGGAAGACCAGUGGCGAAGGCGGAUUCCUGGCCGAGUACUGACGCUGAGGCACGAAAGCGUGGGGAGCGAACGGG